AUACGGAGGGUCCAAGCGUUAUCCGGAAUCAUUGGGUUUAAAGGGUCCGCAGGCGGUCAAUUAAGUCAGAGGUGAAAGCCCAUCGCUCAACGAUGGAACUGCCUUUGAUACUGGUUGACUUGAGUUAUACGGAAGUAGAUAGAAUAGGUAGUGUAGCGGUGAAAUGCAUAGAUAUUACUUAGAAUACCGAUUGCGAAGGCAGUCUACUACGUAUAUACUGACGCUCAGGGACGAAAGCGUGGGGAGCGAACAGGAUUAGAUACCCUAGUAGUCC
rnacentral:rRNA from 1 species